rnacentral:rRNA from 1 species
GACGAACGCUGGCGGCGUGCUUAACACAUGCAAGUCGAACGGUUGAGGGACCGGUUUUUGCUGGUUCUGGAGGAGUCGCGAAAGGGUGGGUAACACGUGUGUAACCUGCCCCCGUCUUCUGGAUAACCGCAGGCAAUUGUGGCUCAUACGGGCUAUUCUGCGCCUUCUGCAUGGUGGGUGUGGGAAAGUUAUUGUUUCGGUUGGGGAUGGGAUGUCGGCCUAUCAGCUUGUUGGGGGGGUGAGCGCCUACCCAGGCGGUGACUGGUAGCCGGCAUGGGAGGGUGGACGGUCCUACAGGGAAUGAGAGACCGCCCAGACUACUACGGGAGGCAGCAGUGAGGAAUAUUGCACAAUGGGAGCAAGGCUGAUGCAGCGACGCCGGGUGGGGGAUGGAGGCCUUCGGGUUGUAAACCUCUUUCGCCAGUGAAGCAGGCCUGGCCCUUUUGUGGGUGUGUUGACGGUAGCUGCAUAAGAAGCGCCGGCUAACUACGUG